UUCACUGGAGUUUGUUUCAAUA
rnacentral:miRNA from 5 species